AGCAGCCGCGGUAAUUCCAGCUCCAAUAGCGUAUAUUAAAGUUGUUGCAGUUAAAAAGCUCGUAGUUGAAUUUCGGGGUUAGUAGAUUGGUCAUGCCAUCGGUAUGUACUGGUCUCACUGAUUCCUCCUUCCUGAUGAGCCGUAAUGCCAUUAAUUUGGUGUUGCGGGGAAUUUGGACUGUUACUUUGAAAAAAUUAGAGUGUUUAAAGCAAGCUAACGCUUGAAUACAUUAGCAUGGAAUAAUGAAAUAGGACGUUCGAUCCUAUUUUGUUGGUUUCUAGGAUUGACGUAAUGAUUAAUAGGGAUAGUUGGGGGCAUUAGUAUUCAAUUGUCAGAGGUGAAAUUCUUGGAUUUAUUGAAGACUAACUACUGCGAAAGCAUUUGCCAAGGAUGUUUUCAUUAAUCAAGAACGAAAGUUAGGGGAUCGAAGACGAUCAGAUACCGUCGUAGUCUUAACCAUAAACUAUGCCGACUAGGGAUCGGAUGAUGUUAAUUUUUUAAUGACUCAUUCGGCGCCUUACG
rnacentral:rRNA from 1 species